rnacentral:lncRNA from 1 species
GAUCUAGCAAAUCCAUUUAUUUCUAGGUACAACUCAAAAGAACUGAAAGCAGGAACUCAGAUGCUCAUAUGACAACAGCCAAAAAGUAGAAACAAACCAAUUGUCAAUCAACAGAAGAACAGAUAAACAAUGUGUUACUUACAUACAAUGGACUAUUAUUCAGCAAUUUUAAAAAAUGAAGUUCUGGAGUUCCUGUGUGGCUCAGCAGAAACAAAUGUGACUAGUAACCAUGAGGACACCAGUUCGAUCCCUGGCCUUGCUCAGUGGGUUAAGGAUCCGGUGUUGCCAAGAGCUGUGGUGUGGUUCACAAACGCAACUCAGAUCUGGCAUGGCUGUGGCUGUGGCGUAGGCCAGUGGCUAUAACUCUGAUUUGACCCCUAGCCCGGGGACUUCCAUAUGCCUCGGGUGCAGCCCUAAAAAGACAAAAAAAAAAAAAGUUCUGAUACAUGCUAUAACAAGGAUGAACCUUGAAAACAUUGCUAGGUGAAAUAAACCAGACACCAAAGGUCAAAUAUCUAUGAUGCCACUGGCAUGAAAUAUCUAGAAUAGGCAAAUUCACUGAGGCAGAAAGCACACCAGGGACUGGAGGGAAGGGCAAUGGGGAGAUAUGCCUUAAUGAAUAUAGAGAGUUUCUGUUUGGGGUGAAACAGGUAAUAGAUGCAUGACACUGUUAAUGUACCUAAUGCCACUGAAUUACACACUUUAAAAUGAUAAAAUUGUAAAGUUUAUGUUAUGCAUAUUUUAAGACAUAAAAAAUUUUAAGGUAGUUAUUGAAAUAUAAAAUAAAUAAUUUUUGAAAAGGAUUCAGGUACUAACCUUAAAGAUCCUGUCAUAAGCUUAACUGUGGGAGUUCCCAUAGUGGUGCAGUGGUUAACGAAUCCGACUAGGAACCAUGAGGUUGCAGGUUCGGUCCCUGCCCUUGCUCAGUGGGUUAACGAUCCGGCGUUGCCAUGAGCUGUGGUGUAGGUCAUAGACGAGGCUUGGAUCCCAAGUUACUGUGACUGUGGAAUAGGCUGGCAGCUGCAGCUCAGAGUCGACCUGAGAACUUCCACAUGACACAGGUGCAUCCCUAAAAAACCAAAAAAAAAAAAAAAAAGUACGUAUCCUGAAAUAAUGCAAUAAGAAUUCAUAGCAUCAUUUAAUAGAGUGACUAUACAUCCUAAUUAGUCCAGGACAGUCCCAGUUCAUGGCUAUUGACCCAAUGUAAUUCUUAAAUAGCAACCUUUUCAUUCUUAAAAUUGUCUGAUUGGAAAUAAAUUAUACAAUCACUCUAUUUAUGAAUUUUUCUUUCCAAAUAAACUGAACCUAAAUCUCAUAAAGCUUUACCAAUUCAAGUUCUCAACCUUGGCUGCAGACUAAAGUCACCUGGGAAAUUUUUAAAAUACUAAUACCUGGAGUUCCCAUCAUGGCUCAGCAGUUAGCAAACCCGACUAGUAUCCAUGAGUACAGGUUUGAUCCCUGGCCUCGCUCAGGGGGUUAAGGAUCCGGCAUUGCUGUGAGCUGUGGUGUAGGUCGCAGAAGCAGCUCAGAUCUGGCAUGGUUGUGGCUGUGGCACAGGCUCAGGUUAGACCCCUAGGCUGGGAACCUCCAUACGCUGAGGAUGCGGCCUAAAAAUAAAAGGCAAAAAAAAAAAAUACUGAUACUUACAACCCACCCUAUGAAUUCUGACUUACAUGAUCUGAGAAUCAGGGUAUUUAAAAACUCUCCAGGUAAUUCAAAAGUUUCUGCCAAAAUAAUGACCACACUAUAUCUAUUUUGUGGGAAAUGUAAAAGGUAACUGAACAUGUUAAAUACCACAGAAUUCAAUCAGCCAAAACCAGAAUGUGGAAAAUUCUCUUGGACAAAUGAGAGAGUUUUUCCAACAAAUAAAUAGCACAAGAAAAAGUACAGCGGCUGGGAAGGACUGGGGGAGGGGGAAGGAGGAAUAAAGUUAACAGAAACUUAAGAGACAUACAUAAAUCAAAUGAAAUGGUAAACCUUUUUUGGAUGGUGACUUCAACAAAACAACUGUAGAAAGACAUUUAAAGAAUCAGAGAAAUGUGAAGUUUCCGAUGUAGCCCAAUGGGAUUAGCUAGGUCUCUGGGGCAGCCAAAAAGAAAAAAAAAAAAAAAUCAGAGAAAUCUGAACUGGAUUAAGGAACACUUAAUUUUGUUAGGUGUAAUAGUAUUGUGGUUGUUUGCUUUGUUUUGUUUUUAAUUCUUACCUGUUAGAAAUACAUACCAAAGUAUUUACAGAUUAAACGAUGUGAUACUUGAGAUUUCUUUGAAAUUAAUUCAACCACAAAAAAAAGAAAGAAGUUAGGUGAGACAGGAAUGGCAAAAUGUUGGUAACUGUUUAACAGUCAAACCUGGGUUUUAAAAGUAUGGGGUUUCGGAGUUCCUGUCAUGGCGCAGUGGUUAACGAAUCCGACUAGGAACCAUGAGGUUGUGGGUUCCAUCCCUGCCCUUGCUCAGUGGGUUAACGAUCCGGCGUUGCCGUGAGCUGUGGUGUAGGUCGCAGACGUGGCUCGGAUCCUGUGUUGCUGUGGCUCUGGCGUAGGCUGGCAGCUGCAGCUCCAAUUCAACCCCUAGCCUGGGAACCUCCAUAUGCCGCGGGAGCGGCCCAAGAAAUGGCAAAAAGACAAAAAAAAAAAAAAAAGUAUGGGGUUUCAUUGUACCAGUCCAUAUACUUCAUACUCUAAAUUGAUAUGGAAUUAUCAGACAUAAUAAAAAUAUUUUACCUAUAAGUGUGUAGUAUACAUGUAAGUAUAUGUUACAUACACAAUAUAUAGACACGUGAGUAUGUAUGUUAUAAGACAUAUUGGGAAAUGUAAAAAAAGAUGAACACAUAUAAUCCUUGACCUCAAAGAGUAGCAGGUAGUCUAUAUGUUGGACAAAAAAGAUUUGCUCAGGUACCAUCUUUGGUCAAAGGCAGGAAGGCAGCUAGCUCAAGCUUCUAUGAAACCAGAAAGAUGGUAAGAAUGAAAGUAAAAUAACAUUAUAAGUACUCCCUAAGCAUAAGAAAGUGGUUGUGGAUAUACUAUUGAUAAACACCAGAAACUCUACAUAACCUGACUCUGAAAAGCCCAUGUUCUUACUGUUAUGCUGAGGCAUAUGAAAACAAAUUUUUGUAGGUCAAAUGGUCAAAUAAUAGCAAUUCUGUAUGGUUCAACCUAAUACUAUGUUUUAACACCU